CCUGAGAAACCCGAAAGGUCGAAAGGAGAAAUUCAUUCGCGUUUCGAUGCGAGCAACUGGUAGUGUGUGUGCGGCAGAUUGGCUCCGGCUMYUUUGCGCCCUCUAUCUUUUGAUACUCGARYCGAACGCGUGCACUUUUCUCCUAGUAGGACGUCGCGAUCCGUUGGGCGUCGAUUUACGAAUGAUGCGAUGGAGCUUGUUUGUGAAACGUCUUUGGAUGUUUUUUCUUACUUACAAACUCGUACAUUCCAAUCGACUGCUCGACGGUAUAUAGAUAACGGUUAAGGGCCGCUGCUUAUAGCGUCUGACUCAUGACAAGCGCGCUAGACUGUUGGGCCUUCGGACCUAGUGCCGAUUCCGACACCUAGUGACUGUUGGUUGUGAUGUUCUUGGACAGACCCUUACUAACCGAUCUGCGACGCUAUAGCUUUGGGUAAUUUCAGGACCCGUCUUGAAACACGGACCAAGGAGUCUAGCAUGUACGCAAGUCAUUGGGAAUUACUAAACCUAAAGGCGAAAUGAAAGUAAAGAUCUUUCUUCACGAGAGAUCGAGGGAAGACGAUAGACUCUGCGGAGUUUUUCUGCAUUCCCGGGGCGUCUCAUUCUCAUUGCGAGAGGAGGCGCACCAAGAGCGUACACGCUGGGACCCGAAAGAUGGUGAACUAUGCCUG
rnacentral:rRNA from 1 species